AGCAAUACUAGUUGCCGAGCCUCAAAAAGAGCGCAUACAAGCCGCCCCAGGUCUCCUCGGGAAUUCACCAUUCAAAAUCUAUUAAUUUUCUGCGGCUUCACAUAAUCAACAUAGACUUGACUGUGGCCUGUAUUAUUUUGAUGUUUUCCGGACCAGACAACCGUUGAAUAUUGUAAGCUUUUCAGGCUAUCUGGUGGAAAACAGUCAUCAAUAUUCUUCAUGCCAUCUUUGAAAUCGAUAUCGGACGGUAAUGUUAUACCACUACGAAAUUCAGAAAUACAACACCAGAAAAUUGCUGAAGGUAAAGGACAACACAUCGUACGAGGAAUUGUGGAGCAUCAUCCUGCAGUUCCAACGGCCAAUCUUCGAUAUUUACAUCCGUGCAAAAGAUGUUGGUCAUAAAUCGAACAACGUCGCAGAUUUAACACAACGGCCAACGCAAUCAUCUGUUUAUCACUGCAAACGUUUAUGUGAUGAUGAUGUUAAUGAUGAUUUUUCCUGUGGUGUUUCUGAACGAUUGCGUUUCUUAAAAAAUAGUAAUAAUA